AUACGGAGGAUCCGAGCGUUAUCCGGAUUUAUUGGGUUUAAAGGGUGCGCAGGCGGCCAUUUAAGUCAGCGGUUAAAUCGUGGGGCUCAACCCCAUUCUGCCGUUGAUACUGGGUGGCUUGAUUGCGGUCGAGGUUGGCGGAAUUCGUUGUGUAGCGGUGAAAUGCAUAGAUAUGACGAAGAACACCGAUUGCGUAGGCAGCUGACCAGACCGCAAAUGACGCUCAUGCACGAAAGUGCGGGGAUCGAACAGGAUUAGAUACCCUGGUAGUCCGCACAGUAAACGAUGAAUACUUGUUUUCGGCGAUAUAAUGUCGGAGGCAAAGCGAAAGCGAUAAGUAUUCCACCUGGGGAGUACGCCGGCAACGAUGAAACUUAAAGGAAUUGACGGGG
rnacentral:rRNA from 1 species